rnacentral:lncRNA from 1 species
GGUUUUGGGAGAUUGUAUCUUUCCUUCAUUGGGAUGGGUGUUGGUUAGAGGUCCAUUUUUUAAUUGAAAUGAUGAUGACAGAAGUUUGCCUGAUAGUAGGUGUUUAAAGCCACCUCCUAAACGCAUUUGUUGUGAAGGAAAAGAAAAAGCCACCAACACUCUGUUGAUCAAAAAAAAAUUAGUUUUCCUAAUCCAUAAAAAUCCAUGUUGGGAUUCAUUGCCCUAAGUGAAUAUACAGAUUACCUCUCUUCCUCCAAGGAUCUGAAAUAUAUAUAAGAAAAACCUGGAUACUCAAAGUCACCACCUAACCUAGAAAUUGUAUCCAACAGAAAGUUUCCACCACCUCCCCUUUGCACCCAGUGUCCUGCUAGAACUGCCAGCCCAGGUGGACUUUUCCAUGCUGCUUCUCCCCUUGAUCUCCUUGAUGACUAAAAUCAGGCAACAGAAGGCAGACGGUGGAGACUCAAAUGACUGAAUCAUCCAUCUGCAUGUAGAUCCUUGAAAACAAGAUUUUUCUGCAGCCCAACCCACAGUUAGAUCAUGUGCCCAGUUGAGUCUCGUAGUUAAUGGAAACAGGUGUCAGGAGCCAAACACAGCAACCUGCAGGCUUUAGCGUGGCUUUCAGGAUCACAAGCUUGUACAGGAUUCAUUCAUCACUUUGGAGCUUAAAGGAGAAGCUUGAACUGAGACCAUUUUCCAGGAAGAUCAUCCCACAGGGCCUGAGGCAGAAUCAACAUCACCCCUACCUGGAAAACAGGGGCUCAUUUGCUUUGAAAGAACCUCCUGUGGGCCACUACACUAGCAAUUUCUUUUUUCAAUCCAAAAAAAUAGGAUAAAUCCAUUAUUAGUCACUAAGCCAAGAUUUACUACAAAAAUUGACAUCCAGGAAAAUGUUGGCUUGUCUAAGUUGAAAGGAAAUUUCUGUAUCCACAUUUGUUUUCAUAUUAGUUUCAUUAUUUCUCUCCAGCCUGGUAUAAUGAUUCAUCUGUGAAUUGGAAUCACUUUCCUGGGAUCCUUUUAGCCAAUGCAUGUGUCUGGCUUCCUCAGAAAAUUAAACACCACAAUCUUGGUUCUAAAACAUCCUCAGAGGCUCAGGAGAAGGCAAGGUUGAAAAGUUCAGCUUUUACUGCUAUUUAUGGUAUUAUCACA